rnacentral:rRNA from 1 species
GAUGAACGCUGGCGGCGUGCUUAACACAUGCCAGUCGAACGGAAAGGCUCCUGCUUGCAGGGGUACUCGAGUGGCGAACGGGUGAGUAACACGUGGGUGAUCUGCCCUGCACUUCGGGAUAAGCCUGGGAAACUGGGUCUAAUACCGGAUAGGACCACAUUUUGGAUGGUGUGGUGGAAAGUUUUUCGGUGUGGGAUGAGCUCGCGGCCUAUCAGCUUGUUGGUGGGGUAAUGGCCUACCAAGGCGUCGACGGGUAGCCGGCCUGAGAGGGUGUACGGCCACAUUGGGACUGAGAUACGGCCCAGACUCCUACGGGAGGCAGCAGUGGGGAAUAUCGCACAAUGGGCGCAAGCCUGAUGCAGCGACGCCGCGUGGGGGAUGACGGCCUUCGGGUUGUAAACUCCUUUCGCUAGGGACGAAGCGUUUUUGUGACGGUACCUGGAGAAGAAGCACCGGCUAACUACGUG